rnacentral:tRNA from 1 species
CAGAAAGUAGUUUAUUGUAAAAUAGUGAGUUUGGGUCUCGCAGAUGGGAAUCUCUUUCUGA